rnacentral:rRNA from 1 species
AACGCGAAGAACCUUACCCGGUCUUGACAUCUGACUGACGUACGGGCAAUGCCGUAUUUCUUUCGGCACAGUCAACACAGGUGGCGCAUGGUUGUCGUCAGCUCGUGUCGUGAGAUGUUGGGUUAAGUCCCGCAACGAGCGCAACCCUUAUUUUUAGUACCCAGCAGUAAGAUGGGCACUCUAAGAAGACUGCCGGGGAUAACCCGGAGGAAGGUGGGGAUGACGUCAAAUCAUCAUGCCCCUUAUGGCCGGGGCUACACACGUGCUACAAUGGCGUAAACAAAGGGAAGCAAACCGGUGACGGGGAGCGAAUCCCAAAAAUAACGUCCCAGUUCGGAUUGUAGUCUGCAACCUCGACUACAUGAAGCUCGGAAUCGCUAGUAAUCGCGGAUCAGCAUCCGACUUA